rnacentral:rRNA from 1 species
CCUACGGGGGGCUGCAGUAAGGAAUAUUGGUCAAUGGAGGAAACUCUGAACCAGCCAUCCCGCGUGAAGGAUGAAGGGGCUCUGCCUUGUAAACUUCUUUUGUCUGGGGCGAAAAAGCUCGAUUUAUCGAGAACUGACGGUACCAGAAGAAUAAGCACCGGCUAACUCCGUGCCAGCAGCCGCGGUAAUACGGAGGGUGCAGGCGUUACCCGGAAUCACUGGGGCGAAGGGGUCUUAGUAAGGCUGUGGUGAAAUGCGUUGGCUUAACCAUGGAAUUGCCAUUGAUACUGCAGAGCUUGAAUGAGGUUGAGGUUGGCGGAAUGUGACAUGUAGCGGUGAAAUGCUUAGAUAUGUCAUGGAACACCGAUUGCGAAGGCAGCUGACUGGACCUAUAUUGACGCUGAGGCACGAAAGCGUGGGGAGCGAACAGGAUUAGAUACCCGGGUAGUC